CCUACGGGUGGCAGCAGUGGGGAAUAUUGCACAAUGGGGGCAACCCUGAUGCAGCGACGCCGCGUGAGUGAAGAAGUAUUUCGGUAUGUAAAGCUCUAUCAGCAGGGAAGAAAUAGCGACCUUUGGGUCGCCAGACGGUACCGGACUAAGAAGCCCCGGCUAACUACGUGCCAGCAGCCGCGGUAAUACGUAGGGGGCAAGCGUUAUCCGGAUUUACUGGGUGUAAAGGGAGCGUAGACGGCAGCACAAGUCUGAAGUGAAAUGCCGGGGCUUAACCCCGGAACUGCUUUGGAAACUGUGCAGAUAGAGUGCAGGAGAGGUAGGUGGAAUUCCUAGUGUAGCGGUGAAAUGCGUGGAUAUUAGGAGGAACACCAGUGGCGAAGGCGGCUUACUGGACUGUAACUGACGUUGAGGCUCGAAAGCGUGGGGAGCAAACAGGAUUAGAUACCCUAGUAGUC
rnacentral:rRNA from 1 species